rnacentral:rRNA from 1 species
GACGAACGCUGGUGGCGUGCCUAAUACAUGCAAGUAGAACGCUGAAGAGAGGAGCUUGCUCUUCUUGGAUGAGUUGCGAACGGGUGAGUAACGCGUAGGUAACCUGCCUUGUAGCGGGGGAUAACUAUUGGAAACGAUAGCUAAUACCGCAUAACAAUGGAUGACACAUGUCAUUUAUUUGAAAGGGGCAAUUGCUCCACUACAAGAUGGACCUGCGUUGUAUUAGCUAGUAGGUGAGGUAAUGGCUCACCUAGGCGACGAUACAUAGCCGACCUGAGAGGGUGAUCGGCCACACUGGGACUGAGACACGGCCCAGACUCCUACGGGAGGCAGCAGUAGGGAAUCUUCGGCAAUGGGGGCAACCCUGACCGAGCAACGCCGCGUGAGUGAAGAAGGUUUUCGGAUCGUAAAGCUCUGUUGUAAGUCAAGAACGGGUGUGAGAGUGGAAAGUUCACACUGUGACGGUAGCUUACCAGAAAGGGACGGCUAACUACGUGCCAGCAGCCGCGGUAAUACGUAGGUCCCGAGCGUUGUCCGGAUUUAUUGGGCGUAAAGCGAGCGCAGGCGGUUUGAUAAGUCUGAAGUUAAAGGCUGUGGCUCAACCAUAGUUCGCUUUGGAAACUGUCAAACUUGAGUGCAGAAGGGGAGAGUGGAAUUCCAUGUGUAGCGGUGAAAUGCGUAGAUAUAUGGAGGAACACCGGUGGCGAAAGCGGCUCUCUGGUCUGUAACUGACGCUGAGGCUCGAAAGCGUGGGGAGCGAACAGGAUUAGAUACCCUGGUAGUCCACGCCGUAAACGAUGAGUGCUAGGUGUUGGAUCCUUUCCGGGAUUCAGUGCCGCAGCUAACGCAUUAAGCACUCCGCCUGGGGAGUACGACCGCAAGGUUGAAACUCAAAGGAAUUGACGGGGGCCCGCACAAGCGGUGGAGCAUGUGGUUUAAUUCGAAGCAACGCGAAGAACCUUACCAGGUCUUGACAUCCCGAUGCUAUUUCUAGAGAUAGAAAGUUACUUCGGUACAUCGGUGACAGGUGGUGCAUGGUUGUCGUCAGCUCGUGUCGUGAGAUGUUGGGUUAAGUCCCGCAACGAGCGCAACCCCUAUUGUUAGUUGCCAUCAUUCAGUUGGGCACUCUAGCGAGACUGCCGGUAAUAAACCGGAGGAAGGUGGGGAUGACGUCAAAUCAUCAUGCCCCUUAUGACCUGGGCUACACACGUGCUACAAUGGUUGGUACAACGAGUUGCGAGUCGGUGACGGCGAGCUAAUCUCUUAAAGCCAAUCUCAGUUCGGAUUGUAGGCUGCAACUCGCCUACAUGAAGUCGGAAUCGCUAGUAAUCGCGGAUCAGCACGCCGCGGUGAAUACGUUCCCGGGCCU